rnacentral:rRNA from 1 species
GUAGGCAGCGAGCGUUGUUCGGAGUUACUGGGCGUAAAGGGUGUGUAGGCGGUUGUUUAAGUUUGGUGUGAAAUCUCCCGGCUCAACUGGGAGGGUGCGCCGAAUACUGAAUGACUAGAGUGCGGGAGAGGAAAGUGGAAUUCCUGGUGUAGCGGUGAAAUGCGUAGAUAUCAGGAGGAACACCGGUGGUGUAGACGGCUUUCUGGACCGUAACUGACGCUGAGACACGAAAGCGUGGGUAGCAAACAGGAUUAGAUACCCUGGUAGUCCACGCCCUAAACGAUGCAUAUUUGGUGUGGGCAGUUCAUUCUGUCCGUGCCGGAGCUAACGCGUUAAAUAUGCCGCCUGGGGAGUACAGUCGCAAGGCUG